GAUGAACGCUAGCGGCAGGCUUAACACAUGCAAGUCGAGGGGUAGGAGAAGCUUGCUUUUCUGAGACCGGCGCACGGGUGCGUAACGCGUAUGCAAUCUACCUUUCACAGAGGGAUAGCCCAGAGAAAUUUGGAUUAAUACCUCAUAGUAUAAUUGAAUGGCAUCAUUUAAUUAUUAAAGAUUUAUCGGUGAAAGAUGAGCAUGCGUCCCAUUAGCUAGUUGGUAUGGUAACGGCAUACCAAGGCAACGAUGGGUAGGGGUCCUGAGAGGGAGAUCCCCCACACUGGUACUGAGACACGGACCAGACUCCUACGGGAGGCAGCAGUGAGGAAUAUUGGACAAUGGGCGCAAGCCUGAUCCAGCCAUGCCGCGUGCAGGAUGACGGUCCUAUGGAUUGUAAACUGCUUUUAUACAGGAAGAAACACCUCUACGUGUAGAGACUUGACGGUACUGUAAGAAUAAGGAUCGGCUAACUCCGUGCCAGCAGCCGCGGUAAUACGGAGGAUCCAAGCGUUAUCCGGAAUCAUUGGGUUUAAAGGGUCCGUAGGCGGUCAGGUAAGUCAGUGGUGAAAGCCCAUCGCUCAACGGUGGAACGGCCAUUGAUACUGUCUGACUUGAAUUAUUAGGAAGUAACUAGAAUAUGUAGUGUAGCGGUGAAAUGCUUAGAGAUUACAUGGAAUACCAAUUGCGAAGGCAGGUUACUACUAAUAUAUUGACGCUGAUGGACGAAAGCGUGGGUAGCGAACAGGAUUAGAUACCCUGGUAGUCCACGCCGUAAACGAUGGAUACUAGCUGUUGGGAGCAAUCUCAGUGGCUAAGCGAAAGUGAUAAGUAUCCCACCUGGGGAGUACGAACGCAAGUUUGAAACUCAAAGGAAUUGACGGGGGCCCGCACAAGCGGUGGAGCAUGUGGUUUAAUUCGAUGAUACGCGAGGAACCUUACCAAGGCUUAAAUGUAGUUUGACCGGUUGGAAACAG
rnacentral:rRNA from 1 species